UUAACUCAAUUUUGUAUGGAGUUGGAACAGCGCCCCUAGCGGCAAACGUAGGCAAACUUUCCAACUCCAUACAAACUUAUUUAA
rnacentral:pre_miRNA from 1 species